CACGCUGUAAACGUUGAGAACUAGAUAUGGUGGGGCUGGCCCCCUCCGUGUCCAAGCAAACGCGAUAAGUUCUCCGCCUGGGGACUACGGCCGCAAGGCUAAAACUCAAAGGAAUUGACGGGGGCCCGCACAAGCGGUGGAGCAUGUUGCUUAAUUCGAGGCAACGCGAAGAACCUUACCCAGGUUUGACAUGCAUAUGACCGGUGGUGAAAGCCACUUUCCCUUCGGGGCAUAUGGACAGAUGC
rnacentral:rRNA from 1 species